rnacentral:rRNA from 1 species
UACGGAGGGGGCUAGCGUUGUUCGGAAUUACUGGGCGUAAAGCGCACGUAGGCGGAUUCUUAAGUCAGGGGUGAAAUCCUGGAGCUCAACUCCAGAACUGCCUUUGAUACUGAGGGUCUUGAGUUCGGGAGAGGUGAGUGGAACUGCGAGUGUAGAGGUGAAAUUCGUAGAUAUUCGCAAGAACACCAGUGGCGAAGGCGGCUCACUGGCCCGAUACUGACGCUGAGGUGCGAAAGCGUGGGGAGCAAACAGG